rnacentral:rRNA from 1 species
AGGUUAGUUUUACCCUACUGAUGAAGGUCGCCGCAACGGUAAUUCAAUUUAGUACGAGAGGAACCGUUGAUUCAGAUAAUUGGUUUUUGCGGCUGUCUGACCAGGCAGUGCCGCGACGCUACCAUCUGCCGGAUUAUGGCUGAACGCCUCUAAGUCAGAAUCCAUGCUGGAAAGCGACGAUAUUCACCUUGACCGAUGUUACGCGUAUAGCGAUAGCCUUCGGGUCAACAUCAUACAAUUGCCCCACCGGCCUUAAAAGCCACGGGAGCAGAAACAUAAUUCCACAUGUUGGUCAAGAUAAAUCCUUUGUAGACGACUUAAAUAUGCAACAAGGUAUUGUAAGUAUGCGAGUGGGCUUGUCCUACGAGCUACUGAGAUUCAGCCUCUGUUGUUUAGAUUU